UACAAUGAGUUCUGGUGAUAAAUCUUCCUCCCGACCUGUGAGGGCGCUAAAGAACGGGAGGAGAAGUAUCUGGAAGGGCUGGCCUGACAGUUCGUUUCCGGGACCGGAAAGUGGGUCAGCCUGGAAGGAAGCGAGACUCUGUUGUAAGACCGUAUUGAUUUGACAGGUAAACAAGGGGCAGCUGCAAGUAAUAAGGCAGCUGCAACCGUUUACCUAGAUAUCAUGCGGGAUUACAUAUAGGGGCCAGGGUAACGCUGUUCUUUUCCUUCGUUUGGGUUAAGCCAAGGACCGAGAAGGACGGUAUAGAGUGAAGUGCUGUAUUACUCUGUAAAGAGUUGAGUGUGUGUGUGUUUUUGUUUGUUUAUUGCUGUACAAUAACUGUCUGUGUUUUGAAACCACCAGACAGCUAAAGCACAUCCGGAGCUGUCGCCGUGGGCCAGCACCAACCGGAUCACCACCUCACAACUGUCACCGAAUAAAAAGUGUAUUCAUUCACCACCAGCACGACUGCACGCACCCGGGACGGGUGAACGUGUUUUUGUUUUGUUAUUCAGGACUGUAACCUGUCGUUUCAUCCCCGCGCUCUACACAUCGUUGUGUAUUGCCGGGGCUUAUUAUUUACGGUCGCUAGACCAGGAUUUAAAAUAAAUAAAAACAUUUGUCACUGGAUUACCGUUGUCUGCCUGUCACUCCUGCACCGCAUCACCGCUACACCUGUUCCCCUUACUAACCACUUUGCCACACGUGGUGUCAGACUACGGGAUCAUGGACCGCAACGCACUGGCGGAGCUGCUGCAGGCGCUGGAGAGCAGGCGCGACGCAGAGGAGAGAAGGAGGGAGGAGCGCUACACGGCGCUCAUUGAACGGGUAGGGCUGGCCGUUGCUGCAGCGACGACCCCUACCACAACACCGCUGAUGUCGCCCCCGAAGGCACGGGCAAUGAAGAUGUCGGCGGAGGAUGACCCGGAGGCGUAUUUGGUGGCGUUCGAGCGGCUGGCUACCGCGGCGGCUUGGCCGCGGGAGUUCUGGGCCAGCCAGUUGGGACCCUGCCUGAUUGGGGAGGCUCAGGCAGCCUACCAAGCCAUGAGCGACCAUCACGCCACCGAUUAUGACUUGGUCAAGCAGGCUAUCCUCCGCCGGCUGAACAUCACCACGGAGACCCACCGGGCGCGAUUUAGGGAGUACCGGAGAGCCCCGGAGACACGCCCCAGGGUGGUUGCAGAGCGGUUGUGCGACCACAUGGUGCAUUGGCUGACCCCCGGGAAGAAGACCGCCCAGCAGAUGGGGGAAGCCAUUGUGGUAGAGCAAUUCUGCCAUGUGGUCGGCGCCGAAACCCAGGCGUGGAUACGGCGCCACAACCCCGACACCCUGGAGGAGGCGGUCAAACUGGCCGAAGACUUCGAGGACUCCCUGACCUCUGCCCGGAUCGGGAUCCUGUCGGCCCCUGCCCUUCGGAGCAGCAGACCUCUCCCUCCCUCUCCUCCAACACCACCACCACCACCCCCCACGUUCCAGGGACCCAGACCUCCCAGAGCACCGACCCCAUUGGGCCCCCUUGCCUCCCCCCCAUGGAGACCAAGGUUGGCCCCCAGCUGGGGUAGAGGUGCUGCCCCUGCCCCGUUGCCAUACCAGCAGCGGGACAGAUUUCUGACCUAUGCCCCCUCUGUCCCUCCUAUCUGUUUUAGGUGCCACCAGCCGGGACAUCUGGCCAGGUCAUGCCCCGCUGCCAUGGAGUGUGACGUGGCCGCGUGCAAUUGGGCACCUGAAACUGGUAAGCGUGGGGAAUAUGGUCGGGAGGGGCCUUGUUUGAUUAAUGUUGUGUUAGGGAAUGUGAAAACCCACGCAUUAGUGGACACAGGGUGUGAGCAAACCUUGAUUAGGACAGCUCUCCUGGGCGGUGUGUCGUGGCGGCCACGAGGUCAGGUGGCCAUCUCCUGUAUCCAUGGAGACACGGCGGCAUACCCCACAUUAAAAGUAUAUUUAUCGGUAGGACCGAUAAAACGUCACCUUGUAGUCGGGGUGGCGGAAAGGUUGCCACACCCAGUUAUUCUGGGUCGAGACUGGCCAAAAUUCAAAGAAUUGAUGCAAACAAUGGCAGUCUCAGCCACACACGUAAACGUGGCAGAAAAAAAAAAAAAAGAGGAACGAAUUGGUGAUGUGUUUCCUUUUCACACUGAAAUGUUUUCCCCUCUUUUCCGUCCUAGAAAAACAAAUAAGGAGAGACGGACCGCGAAAUGGGAGGGAGCAUUUGUGAGACAAGGCUGGGGUCUGGUGGGAGAGUGCUGCAAUGGUAACAAACGCCAGUCGAAGGGAGUGGGAACGCAGUGUGACCGAGAGAGCGAGGUUACUGGACCGACUAGAGCAGAGGUUAUUCCAGCCCCUCUCAAUGUACCGGACCCGUGGUACUCAAGCGCGGACCUAGUGUGGGGCCAACAAAACGACCCGUCACUGGUGCACGCUUGGGGGCAGGUCCGGUCCAUUGAAGGUAAGGAUGUUGACGGCGCUGGGGCGCUAGUAUAUCCACAUUUCAGUAUCAAGGGGCAAUUACUAUAUAGGGUAAACCUAGCCGCGGGCACAGGACAGCCUGUAACACAAUUGUUGGUUCCCCCGUCUUGUCGGACCGAGGUCAUGAGGCUGGCGCAUGAUAUCCCUUUUGCGGGGCACCUCGGAGCCGAGAAGACGAGGGAACGGAUAUUGGCUCGAUUCUAUUGGGUAGGUCUUCAUACUGAUGUGUCGAGAUAUGUAGCCACCUGCCCAGACUGCCAGCGAGUAGCGCCGGGUCGAGUGCGCCCCGCCCCUUUGGUCCCACUGCCGAUUAUUUCCACUCCUUUCGAGCGCAUUGCAAUGGACAUAGUCGGCCCUUUGCUACCUUCUGACUCCGGGUAUACGCACAUUUUAGUAGUGGUGGAUUAUGCAACGCGAUACCCGGAGGCAGUUCCAUUGAGGUCCACUAGUGCCGCUGCAAUAGCCACCGAGUUAGCACAGAUUAUGGCCAGAGUAGGGAUCCCCAAGGAGAUUUUGACCGAUCACGGAACUAACUUUUUGUCCAAUACGUUACAGCAGGUGUACAAAAUAUUAAAAAUACGUCCCAUCAGGACGUCCGUUUAUCAUCCACAAUCGGACGGUCUGGUGGAACGUUUUAAUCAGACCUUAAAGUCGAUGCUGAGGCGAUUUGUGACACAAGAGCAGAAACAUUGGGCAUCACUUCUCCCCUACCUCCUUUUUGCAGUGAGAGAAGUGCCGCAGAGUUCAACGGGGUUCUCCCCCUUUGAGCUCCUGUACGGCCGGCAGCCUCGCGGCAUUCUCGACCUGCUGAGAGAGGGGUGGGAGGAGCACAAAGGCUCGUCUAAAAAUGUAGUGAAGUAUGUGCUCCUACUCCGAGAUCGCCUGGAUUUGGUCGGUCGUUUGGCCCAAGACAACCUCAGAUCGGCUCAGCACCGACAAGAGCAGCAUUAUAACAAAAAUGCACGGAUUCGAACCUUUCGACCAGGGGACAAGGUAAUGCUGCUACUUCCCUCAUCAGAGUCAAAACUGUGUGCUAAAUGGCAGGGGCCGUAUGAGGUGAUUCGGGCUAUAGGGAAAGUAAAUUAUGAAAUUAGACAGCCCGAUCGCCGGAAUGAACGUGAAAUUUACCACAUUAAUUUGUUGAAGCCCUGGCAGGCAAGAGAGGUCUUAUUUAUAGCCCCAGGCAAUAUGGAGGAUGAUUUAGGUCCCUGUCCAGAGACCCCGAGCACAAGAGCGAUUUCGAUGGGGGAACAAUUAGUUCCGGAUCAGCAAAGAGAGCUGCGUAAGCUUAUUGAGGAGUUCAGCGAUGUUUUUUCUGAUGUGCCCGGCAGGACGAACUUAGUUGAAUAUGACAUUAUCUCUCCCCCAGGUGUCACAGUGCGAGAGAGACCGUACCGGAUCCCGGAAAGUCGACGAAGUGGCGUUCGCAAAGAGGUACGGGAUAUGCUCGAGCUUGGAGUGAUUGAACCUUCCAGGAGCGAGUGGUGCAGUCCUAUUGUAAUAGUGGCUAAGAAGGACGGCACCAACCGCUUCUGCGUAGAUUUCAGAAAGGUGAAUGCUAUUGCCAAGUUCGAUGCGUAUCCCAUGCCUCGGGUCGACGAACUUUUAGACAGACUGGGAAAAGCGAGGUUUAUUUCCACUCUGGACCUGACGAAGGGAUACUGGCAAAUCCCUCUAACCCGCAGCUCCAGAGAGAAAACCGCAUUUUCAACACCAGAGGGGCUGUUCCACUUUAAAACCAUGCCGUUUGGGCUACAUGGUGCGCCCGCUGCCUUUCAGAGACUGAUGGACCAGGUUUUACGCCCACAUCAUGAAUAUGCAGCAGCGUAUAUUGAUGACGUGGUGAUUUACAGCUCCACCUGGCGAGAGCAUUUGGCUAGGGUUGCAGCCGUUCUUCAGUCUCUAAGGGCAGCCCGGCUGACAGCUAACUUGAGAAAAUGUGCGUUUGCCAAGACAGAGACUCAAUAUUUGGGAUUUGUAAUGGGAAAUGGAAGGGUGAAACCUGUGGUCACCAAAAUCCAGGCUUUGGUUGAUGCAGCGAUCCCCAAAACCAAGACUCAGGUGAGGUCACUACUGGGCUUAGCCGGUUAUUACCGCCGCUUCAUCCCCGAGUACGCCACAGUGGUUAACCCGUUAGUCGACCUCACCAAAAAGAGUGCUCCAAAUUUAAUUAAAUGGUCAGCUGAGUGUCAGGGGGCGUUUGAUACGAUUAAGCGUAAACUUUGCCAGGCCCCCACUCUUAUUACCCCAGAUUUCACCAAGAGAUUCAUCCUCCACACCGACGCCUCGGAUGUAGGUUUGGGUGCAGUCUUGUCCCAAAAAGUAGCUGGAGUAGAACACCCGAUAUUGUACCUGAGCAAAAAAAUGUUACCUCGGGAGCGUAACUACUCCGUAGUCGAAAAAGAGUGUUUGGCCAUUAAAUGGGCUACUCACUCUUUACGAUACUACCUGCUGGGACACUCAUUUGAUCUUGUCACAGACCACGCCCCACUCCAGUGGUUAAGCACCAUGAAGGACAGCAAUGCCCGGAUAACUCGGUGGUAUCUGGCGUUGCAGCCCUUCAUGUACCAUAUGGUACACCGUGCGGGGAAAGACCACCAAAAUGCGGAUUAUUUUUCCCGGGAGGGGGGAGCAAUGGGAAAGGUAGAUUUAGCCGAGUGUUCCUUCGGCUCCACUCUGAGCGGUGGGAUAUGUGACAGAAAUACAAUGAGUUCUGGUGAUAAAUCUUCCUCCCGACCUGUGAGGGCGCUAAAGAACGGGAGGAGAAGUAUCUGGAAGGGCUGGCCUGACAGUUCGUUUCCGGGACCGGAAAGUGGGUCAGCCUGGAAGGAAGCGAGACUCUGUUGUAAGACCGUAUUGAUUUGACAGGUAAACAAGGGGCAGCUGCAAGUAAUAAGGCAGCUGCAACCGUUUACCUAGAUAUCAUGCGGGAUUACAUAUAGGGGCCAGGGUAACGCUGUUCUUUUCCUUCGUUUGGGUUAAGCCAAGGACCGAGAAGGACGGUAUAGAGUGAAGUGCUGUAUUACUCUGUAAAGAGUGCUUCGUGUCAGACUUCCAGCAGUACACUGGGACGCACUGCGAGCUGUAUCAGAGGACGGCUGGGUUUUACGGAGUCCUCUUCGGCGUGCUCGGAGCUGCUCUGCUUCU